GCAUUCCUCACGGACAUCGGGUCACAAGGCGCCUGACACACCAGUGCAACACCGAGCGUCGUUCGGUCAAAGCGCGUUCAGCGCUAGUUAUGAACAAAUAGGGUUCGAAAACCCAUUGCCCCCAACGUUUUCCGCUUCCCCGAGGUCAGGCAGGCAAUCGAGGUCCACGACAACUGCACGGAGUGCCGCAGAACGCGAUCGUCGCCUAAGGGUUCACCCAGAGCCAUGCCGCGCAAACGGGUAGAUCCGAGGCGAACGGUAUAUAUUUCGACAAAUGAAUUCCAUCGGUAUAGGUAUGCAACACAGGAAACCAGAAAAGGUGGACGAGGCUAAUAUCGCUCUCGCGCCAAAGAUUGAAGAGGAAUGCACGGGAGGACGUCGCUGCCCCAAGCAGGGAU
rnacentral:misc_RNA from 1 species